UGCAGCAAGGCUCAUUUGUGAUCAAAGAAUCUGUGGGAGCAGCAAAUCCUCCAUGUGGGCAUGGGAGAGAGGAGAGACACACAUCGCCUAUCUCAGAUACACAGCAUUUGCAAAUACCUUCUCUUAAAAGAGAGCAGUGUGCCCUGUCAUUCUAAUUACAAGUCAAUGGGAACUUCAUGGUUACCUUCCCUAAGGCUCCCUUCAGGUACUGGAAAGUGCUCUCCAUCCAUUCCAUGUUUUUCCUAUGUUGGAGGCCCAGGGCUGGGCACAGUACUCAAGUGAAGCCUUCUUGACUGUCUCCUCAUCAUUUUCCAUGUGCUUUAGCAUGGUUUCCAGGAGGAUCAGCUCCAUGAUCUUACUGGACACUGAGGCACUGUUGGACAAACGGUGGUUGUGCUGCUGUGUCAGUGGAUCAUGUUAUGUUUUGGAGACCACAAACUGGUAAGACAACUGAAAACCUUAAAAAGUACUUUGGAGACAGUUCAAGUGAAAAGGAAAUGGGAUUUUAUAUCUCCUGGAUGUUUAUUUUGACCUUUACAUGUUCUUCAACAAACCUGAGAGGUUGCAGCUAGCGGGCAGAAGCAGUCGUGUGAGUGAUGAACUGUCUUGCUUCCAAAUCUUACAAUAAUCAGGAUUCAGUUUCCAGUGUAAUGGUGUUACAGGCAAUUAUCCUGAGAUCCUGUACAUGCUGAUGUUGGCUGGACUUGGCUAAAACCUGGCACACACCCAUUCCCACAGUACCCUUGGCUACAGAGCAGGUUCCGGGACUUGCUCCUGGGGCAGGACCUGCAGGGGCACCAGCCUACCCAUCAUGAAUAACAGGCCAAGAAGUUUUAAAGCCUCCUCUCCAUCCUCAGGGUGUCAGACAAGGAAUCCAGUCUUCUAUUUCUCAUCUGAGCUCCAAACACCCCCAGCUCCAGGAGCUUUGCCAUCUCUGAUACUUCAGCAGAGGAAACACAGAUCAAAUGGGCUAUGACAUCAGUAAACCUCUUUUCCUGGGAAUUUUUGAUGGCAGCGAUAAGGGUAAAGGAAGACCUUCCUUGACAAGAAAGUCAUUUGCUCACUGAAAGGCACAUUAGAAGAUUAAAACCACUGCAAUCUAUGCUUUAAAUAAAAUGCCAGGCUUUCCUUGCAGUCAGUGGUGCAAGAGUUUCACUGUAGGGACAGCUUUGUUUUGGAAAUGAAGGAAGAAUGUCCUUUCAAUGCUUUCUCUGGCUGCUGCCACCUCCCUCCCUUGUCUUAUACCCAGCAUCUCAAAGCUGGUAGCUGUGCACAGAAAUGUUUGAUGCCAUCAAGUAAAUAUUGCCAGGACAGGGUUGCACUAAUGUUAUUG